GGAGAGGUGGCCGAGUGGCUGAAGGCGCACGCUUGGAAAGCGUGUAUACGGAUUUGCUCCGUAUCGUGGGUUCGAAUCCCACCCUCUCCG
rnacentral:tRNA from 1 species